rnacentral:misc_RNA from 1 species
GACGGAGGGCGCGAGCGUUGUUCGGAAUUACUGGGCGUAAAGCGCGCGCAGGCGGAAGGGCAAGUCGGACGUGAAAGGCCGGGGCUCAACCCCGGCACGCCGUCCGAAACUGCGCUUCUGGGGACCGGUAGAGGCGGGCGGAAUUCCCGGAGUAGCGGUGGAAUGCGUAGAGAUCGGGAAGAACACCCGUGGCGAAGGCGGCCCGCUGGGCCGGAUCCGACGCUGAGGCGCGAAAGCGUGGGGAGCAAACAGG